GAUGAACGCUGGCGGCGUGCUUAACACAUGCAAGUCGAACGGUCCCGCAAGGGACAGUGGCAAACGGGUGCGUAACACGUAGGGAUCUGCCCCAGAGCCGGGGACAACAGCUGGAAACGGCUGCUAAUACCGGAUGAACUCGUGAGAGGAAAGGCGUAAGCCGCUCUGGGAGGAGCCUGCGGCCUAUCAGGUAGUUGGUGAGGUAAUGGCUCACCAAGGCAACGACGGGUAGCCGGCCUGAGAGGGCGACCGGCCACACUGGGACUGAGACACGGCCCAGACUCCUACGGGAGGCAGCAGUGGGGAAUAUUGGGCAAUGGAGGAAACUCUGACCCAGCGACGCCGCGUGCGGGAUGAAGGCCUUCGGGUUGUAAACCGCUUUCAGUAGGGAAGAAGCGAAAGUGACGGUACCUACAAAAGAAGCACCGGCUAACUAUGUG
rnacentral:rRNA from 1 species